ACCAAUAUUUCUGAAACUAGUGAUUUGACACUAGUGAAAAUUCAGUUACUGCUUGAGUGAUUUGACACUAUUGAAAAUUCAGUUACUGUCAAUUGAAUUUGACAGUAUAAUUCUACAGUACACAAGAUUCAGUGUAAAUCUUCAAAAUGAAUUGCUGUUAGUACACGAUCAAUUAACUAAUUUGGCAUUAUUACUCCCUAGAGAACGGAUUGUACAACACUGAAAAUUACUCUGAAUGUACUCCAAUUGACUGUAUAUUCACUGAAUGUACAACACCAAAAAUUACUCCAAUGACUGUAUAUUGACUGCAUAUAUUUCAUUGAUGUCAAAUUUUAUUUAUGUGUCAAGUGUGACAUCAACUUGUAAGAAGAAUAAGGAUGAGUCCAAGAUCAGGUGAUUGAGUGAGUGAUGUGGUUGCUGAGGUUCAGACAUGUUCAAUGAGAACAACUACUGUGGAGAUUAAAUUUAAUGAGAAUAAAUUCAAAUAAAUCCAAAUAAACCCAUCAUGUCAGGAUUCUUGAUCAAAGACCCACUUAGGAGUAGUUUGUCAUUGUUAAACACAAGUUUAAAAUGAAUAUGCUUCUUUUGCUGUGGUAAUCCAAAAUGCUUCUUUUGAGUACAGUAGCUGUAAAACUUAGUCUAUCUGGAGCUUGAGCUUGUGAGCUUCUUUAGCAAGAUCACAGUAAAUUAGGACUAUACAAACACUUUUACAGUUCUGAACACUUUUCACAAGAUGAAGCUCUUGAUCUUACAGUAAAACUGUUCUGAACACUUUUCACAAGAUGAAGCUCUUGAUCUUACAGUAAAACUGUUCUGAACACUUCUCACAAGAUGAAGCUUGGUUUUUCUUCGAUCUACACUUUUAAAGUUCAAGACACUCUUGUAAAUUAAAUAAAUCAAAUGGUGUAUAAAUGGUGUAUAAAUCCUCUUGGAAACUUUAGGUAUGUUUGCAAUUGGACAAAUGGUGUAUAAAUCCAAAUAAAUCAAAUAAAUUCAAAUAAUUCAAAUAAAUCCAAAUAAAUCCAAAUACGUCUAUCCUUUCUUUCCCUAUCCUUUCUCAUUGAACACAUGACACAAUACAUACACAUGACACAAGCCAUACACAUGACACAUCAAAUACUCCUAUCCUUUCUUUUCUUUUUCCCUUUCCCUUUCUUUUUGAGCUUUCUCUAUCUACUCAUUUCCUUGUUCUAUAAUGGCCAUCGUAUCAGUAAUUAGCUCAGGACUGCAGUAUACACCGGUUAUUUCUUCUCCCCCAUUUUGUAGACGGUCCUUGUGUAGAUGCGGCAGCUUAUAGUUGUUUCCUCCUUGAUCUUUCAUCACUUCCACCAUGACUGCUUGCAACGUCAUAAAGCUUUUGAACAGCUUAUGGGGAUCGUAGUUCUCAAACUCCUCCUCUACACCCUGUACCAGUUCCUGUAUAUUCAUAGGCGCUCUGUAGUCGGUUAGGGAUUGGAGGGAGCAGUGGAAACAAAGAUCCAGAACAUUGAGCUCAGGGCUGUUUGGUGGUUGUUGCAAUAAUCGAAUAUCCAGAUCUGUCUGUGCCACGGCUUCUAGAAAACCAGCAUCAUUAGGGAGGACAUGCGGUGUUGCAUUAUCUUGUUGAAUAAAGAUCGUUGUGUCCUCGGCAACGUCCGGCCAUUUGUCUUGAAUGGCAGGGAUUACUUUAUUGAUCAAGUAAUCUCUGCACACAGGUCUAGUAACUUUGACCGGCUUCAACUCUAUUGUCCCCCUAUCUCUGUUCUGGCUUGUUCGUUGUGCCUCGGUCUGUACCACAAACGGCCAAAUGCCAAGUUUCCCAUCAAAUAUCAUCUCCCCAUCUUCAUUGUAGCGAGGUUUGGCUACAGCUGUUAGAAACAUUACCUUCCCAAUGCUAUGAGCAUUGUGCACAGUUCGGUUUGGUUCUUCUUCUCCAGGCAGUACGUAGUAGCUACUCUUCACUCGGGUCAUGUCAUACCAUUUCUCGUCGAUGUGGACCAUAUUUGUCAUUGGCUUGAAACUGGGCCAAGGACUUGAUAUCCAUCUUUCAUCCAUCAUGGAUAGGCAGAACUUUAGUCUCGCUAUCUUGUUCUGUGGCUUGAGGGUGGGUUUGAUGGUGCUUGUGAUGCGUUUCAGCUCUUGCAAUUGAAAUCUGUCAUGUAGGGUUGAUCGGGGCACACCUAAACACCUUGCUAGAGACCGGAUUGUUCUUCUUUUGUUCAAGGGGAUUGUGGCUGUUCUCGACAGAUCUAGUUCUUUUCUCUUCCUACCACUUUUGUUCUUCUUGCUUGAAACAUCAACUUCUUGUCCUGCUGCAAGUUGUCGUUUGGCUAGAUUCCAUAUUCUUGUAACUGUUCGCAGGUGAACAUUCAGCAUUGUCGCAAUGAGCACCUUGUCAUACACGUGAACUUGUCCAUCUCUAAGCUCGAUUACUUGCAGAGCAAAGUAAACACCAUGUCUCUCCUUGUCUGUCAAGUCCUUGCCUCUUGGAUUGCCAUGUGCAUCAGCUUCUUCCAAUUCUACAUCUUCUUGUGCCUCUUGAGCUUCUUCCAAUUCUGCAUCUCCUUGUGCCUCUUGAGCUUCUUCCAAUUCUGCAUCUCCUUGUGCCUCUUGAGCUUCUUCCAAUUCUGCAUCUCCUUGUGCCUCUUCAGCUUCUUCCUCUUCAGGAAACCAAUUCAAUUCAAUGUCUUCAUCCUCAUCUUCCGGCAUCAAGUUCAAAUCAAUAGCAUCACCCUGUUGAGCUUGUUCUUCUUGUUGAGCUUCAUCCUCAUCUUCCGGCAUCAAGUUCAAAUCAAUAGCAUCACCCUGCUGAGCUUGUUCUUCUUCUUGAGCUUCGUCCUCCUCUUCCGGCAUCAAAUUCAAAUCCAUAGUUGUGUGCUCCUAUCUGAUCUCAUAACAAGAGUAUACAAAAGAUGAAUGGUGAGCAUAUAAUCAUAACAAGAAAACCAUGAAGAAUCCUAGACAAAAAGCAAAGAAACCAAGAAAGAGAAAAGUAGAUAUUAAAAGUACUCCUUGUUCAUAAGCAACUACAGGUCCUACUACAUCUCUCUUUUUUGCAGGGACCAGGGCGGGAAUUAAAAAGCAAACAAAAGCAGGGGCCAUGAGUACAUCUCAACUUUUACUGUAUUUCUUGUUGACAACUAGUGCAGAGGGAGGGAGUACAGAGCAAGCAAGCAAGGCACUGGAGAUGAACAAAUUACAGAACCCUGUACUUGUUCUCACCAGCAGCAGCACGAGUAGGGGACCUCAAGCGGCAGCACAUGAGAAGGGGAUCUCCGGGCAGCAGCACGAGCAGGGGAGGAGCAGCAAGUUGCGGAGAAGCAGCAGAAGGGGCUCCAGCUUGAGGUCCAGGAUUGCAAAAGAGCUUGAGGAUGAGCUUGAGGGAGCUCGUGGUCCAGGCGCGGCGGGAGCUCGUGGUCCAGGCGCUCGAGACCCAGGCGCGCGCGGGUCCUGGCCGGCGGCGGCGCAGGCCCUGCGAGGAAGGAGGGGAUAUCGUCGUCGCAGGUCCUGGGCGGCGGAGGAGCACGUCUUGUGCGGUGACGGAGCAAGUAGGG